rnacentral:ncRNA from 1 species
UAGAUUAAUGUAGGUAAGGGAAGUCGGCAAAUUAGAUCCGUAACUUCGGGAUAAGGAUUGGCUCUGAAGACUGGGAUGACUCGGGCUAUACCCUCCCGGGUGCACUCCCCGUCGGCGGUCCGUUCGCGCGGCGCUGCCGCGGGGCCCCGGGGUCCGGGGUUUGCCUCAACGCGUGCCCCCGCGGUCGGCUCGGGUCCGGUUCGCGCCGGCCUCCGGCCGUGGGGCCGCUGCAGUCUAUCCCUAACAGAAAGCGAGCCUAUUUGCGGCAGCCAUUAGCGCUUGUAAAAAGCUGGAUUUAAAAUCAUAACCAUUGAGGUCGAAACAAUAUCCCAGUACUGUCCUUUUACGAUUCA